UGGUGGAGCGAUUUGUCUGGUUUAUUCCGAUAACGAACGAGACUCCAACCUACUAACUAGUGGGGAGAUCAUUGCGUCUCAGCACUUCUUAGAGGGACAAGCAGUGUUUAGCUGCAUGAGAAGGAGCAAUAACA
rnacentral:rRNA from 1 species